rnacentral:lncRNA from 1 species
CUCACGGAGACGUACGCUGCUGCCGUCCCUGCGCUCGCUGCUGGGCUGCUUUGGUUCGGUUUCCACAGACCUUCAGUUCAUGCUCCACCACCCAUUUCUCUCGUUCCUUGUCCUCUUGGCUACGGAGUGAUUCRUAUUCACAGGGAAAGUAUUUUAGUCAGCCAUACAUUUCUAACCGUAGAUGCAGUGUAAAAACUGGAAGUACCUGAAAAGUAAGAACUGGGUAUGCACGUGGGGGACAUUUAGCCAGGUCACAUAAAAACUACUGAAGUGAACAGCGAAGUUUGGUGCCUAAUGUGAAAAAGUCUGCAGAUGCUCGAGUUAGCUGAGUAGUCUCAGCUAUGCUCCAUCCACAGAUUUUGGAGGCAAUGAGUCUCCUCCUUCUCCAAAUCAGGGUAGCUCCUCCAGUUGCUACUGCUGGUCUCUGCUAUACAGACACCCCAGCCUUUUUACUGCUAGAAAGAGUCUUUUAAAUAGCAUGUUGCAAGUUAAGCGUUGCAAAACAGCGAUGUAAAGUAACUGUGUUGUGUAAUGGCGGUCCUCGCUCCUCCUGAGCGGAGAAGGAAGGAGGGCACAGAGGGGCCCCGUCAGGUGGGACGGUGGUGGGACGGGUCGAGGCUGGGGUGUCUCAUACCGCCAGAGCCUCGUCCCGAGGGAGACGUCCGAUAUCACGUCCGAUCUCGAUCUUCUCCCUGCCUGCUCCCUGCUCCGCGGCGGCGGUCGCAAACGCCCGGCUCCUUGCUCGCGGUCACCCCGCUCGCAGCACGGCACGGCGCAGAGCCUGGACGCUACGGGCGGCCUCCGGCGCCGGGAACCUCAGCUCCCCAARCUCCCUGCGUUUAACGGCGCCGUGCGCGGCUCUGCCGCCGCUUUCUCGCUGCCUUGGGGUCUCGGCUCCCAAAGCCACCUCGCCGCUUUCUGCACGUCGUUUUCUGACGCGCCGGGCGUUUCGCACGGCACAUCUGCAGGUAACGCUGCUUUGCAGCAACGACUGCACGUGCAGGCGCCUUCACGCCGAGCUGGAAUACGCGCCGCGCCGCCGCCGCGCAGCUUUUAUGGUGUGCCGACCGCGCCGGCCACUUCCUGCUUCUCGCUGCGUUGACGUUUUUUCUCGAGAAAGAGGCAGCACGUCGCAGCCGCCGCGCCGCAGACGAAGGACGUUGGUGGGGGUAUUAAUUACGCCGGUGGCAGCUUGAACGAGCGUUACACGGCGAUUACUGCUUCCCCGAUUCCCAUCGCCACCRAACGUCGCCCCUGAUGCUGCCAGCGCCCAUGUUAACGCCGAACCGUCGUCUCCCCCCGAGGUCCAGCGAAGGCUCCAGG